CAGUAGCCGCGGUAAUACGAAGGGGGCUAGCGUUGUUCGGAUUUACUGGGCGUAAAGGGCGCGUAGGCGGGCGAUUAAGUCAGAGGUGAAAUCCCAAGGCUCAACCUUGGAACUGCCUUUGAUACUGGUUGUCUUGAGUCCGGGAGAGGUGAGUGGAACUGCGAGUGUAGAGGUGAAAUUCGUAGAUAUUCGCAAGAACACCAGUGGCGAAGGCGGCUCACUGGCCCGGAACUGACGCUGAGGCGCGAAAGCGUGGGGAGCAAACAGGAUUAGAUACCCCAGUAGUCCCUGUCUCUUAUAC
rnacentral:rRNA from 1 species